GACUGGUCUCUCCCUCUGGAUACAUCUUGUGUUCCCCAACGGCAGACGGGCUGCUGCUGUGCCACUCGAGAGCCACACUCAGCUUUGUGUGGAAGACUCAGUCCCUGGUUUCUUGCUGUCCUGCAAAAAAUGGUAUAAUACUUCAGCUCUUUUACCUCUCUCAGUGAACCUGAAAACAUGUAUGCUACAAGACUGAAAUAAGCUUGUAGGAGUAUCCUAGGUAGGAAUCUUUCAUAGGAUAUUGAAUACAAUGGUUCCUCCUACUCUUGCUAGCAUUAGCAAAAGACCUGACUUCAUGUUUAAAUCUUCAUUAAAAUAAUUGAGAUGCUUUCUGAGGCUUGUCAGGGCUACUCUAAUUUCCAAUAUAAUGUAAUGAGCGUGUAAUGGCCCCCAGGCACUGUUUUUCUGGCUGGGGAUAACUGGAGCACAGUGCGCUGCAUGUGUAUUUGACAAGGAAAAAUAAUUACUACAUUUUUCUGAUAAGAGAAUACUGUAUAAAAGUUAAUGGUACAUGGCAAAAAGAAUUCAGCCAUUCAGAAACAUUUUCAGCUAAUAUAUUGAGAUUAAUACAAAUUAAUCUGGUUUUAGUUAAAGAGCAAACACAAAAGCUCAUCUCUGUGGAUCACGGUGCCUUCUUUUUGGUGCUGCACUAAGAGUCUAAGGAUUAGGAUACCAAAACAUCCUGGAGGAUCAGUGUUUGAGAAUCAGUAUGAUUUAUUACUUCCUAGCCAAUGAGAGCUGGAACACUGCAGAAGAAGUGUGCUCAGCUCCUGAGAAGAAAAGGAAGGGCUCAGGAUGUUUGACAAUAACCACAAAUGGCAUAGGGAGCAGCAUUAGUAAGCUCUGGAGCCAGUUGAAAGUGUCUCAACCAGUGGGAAAGUUACAGAAUUCUGAGACUACAAAAGUGGGAAAAGAACAUUUUAGGUUAAUCUCUGUGCCUCCCCCAAUAAAGUUGGGACUUUAAAUAUAUUAUAGGACAAGAAAGAUAAAAAGGCUAUUGUGUCUCCUUCAGUAAUCAUGUCCUACAAGCAUUAUUCCACCCUCAUUGGUUACAUUCUGGUCUCCGAACUUUCCACUUGUAGUUGUUCUUUUUGUCUCUCCCAAAAACUGUUGGCUGCUGUACAGAAUGAUACAAAGUUUCACCUCAAGCUGCUGCAUUUCAGUGAUGGGUGAAGUCAUCCUUUUAUGUACAGUCUAUAGAGCGUACUGUAAUUUUUCUGGCUGAAAAGUGCUAUAUAAAGCACAAGGUAAUAUUAGUAUGAACUGCAAGCUAUUGCUGUUCAUUUCAAAGCUGAAACAUCUUUGGUUUUUAUUCCUGCAAUCUACAGAGCAAGGUGAUUCUGUCAGAAUUCUAAUUAGGGACUCAAAUUGAAACUAAAUAGGAUUUCACAGAAAAUAAGUACCCCUUUGGUUUAUAACAUGAACUGAAUGUUGGUGCUUUUUAAUCCUUCUAAUUUCAUUUGUAAAGUGUUUUAUUAGGCUAUUGGAAAUUUCAGCAAUGAACUUAACUGAAAUGCAAUCCAAAUGCCCUAAAGUUAUAGCCAUGCUACAAAUUUAAUUCCCUGCCCUGGAACAUUCAGAUGGCAAUACAUGAUUCAAAUCUGAAUCUUUAGAGUCAGAAGGAUUCUGUAGGAUCACUGAGCGGUCCUGAUCCCAAUGGGAGAUGUAUAUUACAAAAAAUAAAGAAGAACCACAACUUACAAUGUAUUGAAAAGAGAGAAAAGUAAAUUUACCAUAAAGAGCUCUAUGUAUCAGUUUUCUUCCAGGGAUCUCAAAAUUAUAAACAAAUAUUGACUCGUCACACCCUUGAGAAGUAGACAAUUAUCUAUACCUGUUUUGCCGCUGAAGAAAUGGAGGCAGAGAGAAAGUAAACACUUUGUCUAAGAUCAGAAUAAGUGGUGGGGAUAGAAGCCCAUAGUCUUCAUGCUGUCCUGCACAUUAAUCACUAUGCAACGUUCUGAUAUGAAGAUGGAACAUAGCAAACUACUAAAAUAAAUCUAGCAUGUUGACUCAAUACAGAGUGAUGUGGGAGGUGGCCCAGGGACACACUCUCUGCCCUACACUGGUGGGGAAAUUCCUCUGGGUAGAAGUUGUUCCCCAGGUGACUUUGUCCUGGUUUUACACCCCUCAUGCAAUGGAAGAGUGAGUGUAUAUGGGAGGUACAGAACCCAGAAUCAGAGCCAUAAUGCUUAAAGUGCAGUAAUCUGUUCAAUUUUGGUACUUAUUUGAGCACUUUUUGUGAAUAAAAGUUAAACUAAGAUACUAACGUGAUAGGUGCCCUAUAAAUGCCUCAGAUCUAUAUCAAAAUUAUGGAUAGUUUCUGGACUACUUUAUUGGACUAUUCAUGGUUUGUGAUUCAUGGUGUAUGAUUUGGCCACUUUAGUCACAUAGUAUUGUUUCAGCUCCUUGAUGGAAGACUGUUGUUCUCCUGUUUAAAAAGUUUUAAAUAGUGAAUAAUGAUUAGGGAAUAAUCAAUAGUGGCUACUCAUGUUCAUGCACAAAAUCCUUUGGUCACAUGUGGCUACAGGUAUUGUAUGAAUAAGACUUUCACCAAGCAAAAAUCUGUAUGGAUAACAAGGAAUAUGAAUGUCAGUGAAUAAAACAGCUGUUGAGAAUGGAAACAAAAUUUGUGAAGAAUGUUUUGAAGGAAUCUGUCAGCCUCGAUGCAUGUACUUUGGAUAAACAUCUGGCAUUUUGGUGGUUCUCUGAACGCACACUGUAUAAACCAGGGUAAUUGAAUUAUGAGAGCUAUUAGACUGAAGCUGAGAGACUCAUUGAUGUUUGCUGUCAAGAUAUUUUGAUGUAUUCUUUUUCUUUUUCUUUUUUUCAAUUUAUCAUCCUGCCAAGUGAGAUUUCAUAUCCCGGACAUCUCAAGCAAAAGGUCAUCAUCAGUGGACAAGAUCUGAAUUCUGACUGGGGGAAGAUUUCCAGGCUAGAGUGGCAGCUACAACAAGCCAUGAGUCAUUCUGAUGGGUCCUCUUCGAAGUGUGUCGGGCAGUAUAAAAGAUGGAUUAGAUUCCCCUACAAAAUAAAAUUUAAUAAUUCCAUAUCAUAAA